AUCCAGCUGAUGAGUUCAAAAAAGGAGGAAACGUUCGUCAAACUAGAU
rfam:Schistosoma mansoni strain Puerto Rico chromosome 3, complete genome